rnacentral:rRNA from 1 species
AAUCUGGCACCUGGUGCCCGAGUUGUAAUUUGCAGAGGAUGCUUUUGGCGAGGCGCCUUCCGAGUUCCCUGGAACGGGACGCCAUAGAGGGUGAGAGCCCCGUCUGGUUGGAUGCCGAGCCUCUGUAAAGCUCCUUCGACGAGUCGAGUAGUUUGGGAAUGCUGCUCUAAAUGGGAGGUAUAUGUCUUCUAAAGCUAAAUAUUGGCCAGAGACCGAUAGCGCACAAGUAGAGUGAUCGAAAGAUGAAAAGCACUUUGAAAAGAGGGUUAAAAAGUACGUGAAAUUGUUGAAAGGGAAGCGCUCAUGACCAGACUUGGGCCCGGUGAAUCAUCCAGCGUUCUCGCUGGUGCACUUUGCCGGGUCCAGGCCAGCAUCAGUUUGCCCCGGGGGAUAAAGGCUUCGGGAAUGUGGCUCCUCCGGGAGUGUUAUAGCCCGUUGCAUAAUAUCCUGGGGCGGACUGAGGUUCGCGCAUCUGCAUGGAUGCUGGCGUAAUGGUCAUCAGCGACCCGUCUUGAAACACGGACCAAGGAGUCGUCUUCGUAUGCGAGUGUUCGGGUGUCAAACCCCUACGCGUAAUGAAAGUGAACGCAGGUGAGAGCUUCGGCGCAUCAUCGACCGAUCCUGAUGUUCUCGGAUGGAUUUGAGUAAGAGCAUACG